UACGGAGGGUGCGAGCGUUAAUCGGAAUUACUGGGCGUAAAGAGUGCGUAGGUGGUUAAUUAAGUUAUCUGUGAAAUCCCUGGGCUCAACCUGGCAGGUCAGAUAAUACUGGUUAACUCGAGUAUGGGAGAGGGUAGUGGAAUUUCCGGUGUAGCGGUGAAAUGCGUAGAGAUCGGAAGGAACACCAGUGGCGAAGGCGGCUACCUGGCCUAAUACUGACACUGAGGCACGAAAGCGUGGGGAGCAAACAGG
rnacentral:rRNA from 1 species